GCACGGGUAGCUCAGUGGUAGAGCGACUGGUUUACACCCAGUUGGUCGGGGGUUCAAAUCCCUCCCCGUGCA
rnacentral:tRNA from 1 species